ANCCCCCCGACGNGUCGGGGGCUGACGGUACCGUAUGAAUNAGCAUCGGCUAANUCCGUGCCAGCAGCCGCGGUAAUACGGAGGAUGCAAGCGUUAUCCGGAUUUAUUGGGUUUAAAGGGUGCGUAGGCGGGAGAUUAAGUCAGUGGUGAAAUCCUGCAGCUUAACUGCAGAACUGCCAUUGAUACUGGUUUCCUUGAGUACAGUUGAGGUGGGCGGAAUGUGUAGUGUAGCGGUGAAAUGCUUAGAUAUUACACAGAACACCAAUUGCGUAGGCAGCUCACUAAACUGUUACUGACGCUGAGGCACGAAAGCGUGGGGAGCAAACAGGAUUAGAUACCCUGGUAGUCCACGCUGUAAACGAUGAUCACUCGUUGUUGGCGAUAUACAGUCAGCGACUGAGCGAAAGCAUUAAGUGAUCCACCUGGGGAGUACGAUCGCAAGAUUGAAACUCAAAGGAAUUGACGGGGGCCCGCACAAGCGGAGGAACAUGUGGUUUAAUUCGAUGAUACGCGAGGAACCUUACCUGGGCUUAAAUGCAGUAUGACUUCCGCCGAAAGGUGGAUUCCCUUUGGGGCAGAUUGCAAGGUGCUGCAUGGUUGUCGUCAGCUCGUGCCGUGAGGUGUCGGGUUAAGUCCCAUAACGAGCGCAACCCCUAUCGUUAGUUGCCAGCGAGUAAUGUCGGGGACUCUAGCGAAACUGCCGGUGUAAACCGUGAGGAAGGUGGGGAUGACGUCAAAUCAGCACGGCCCUUAUGUCCAGGGCUACACACGUGUUACAAUGGCCGGUACAAAGGGUAGCUACUUGGUGACAGGAUGCUAAUCUCUAAAGCCGGUCUCAGUUCGGAUCGAAGUCUGCAACUCGACUUCGUGAAGGUGGAUUCGCUAGUAAUCGCGCAUCAGCAACGGCGCGGUGAAUACGUUCCCGGGCCUUGUACACACCGCCCGU
rnacentral:rRNA from 1 species